rnacentral:lncRNA from 1 species
ACAGGAUCAAACAGCUUGUUCCAGAAAGCAGUGCAUACACAAAGCACGAAGAAAAGGAUAUGGCAGCAGUCUCCAUUUUAAAGUCAAGAUGAAAGUCAAGUCAAACUGAAGUCAGGAAGAUAAAAAGGCAGCAAUUCAGAGGACUGAUUCUGAUCUUGUGCAUGACCAGCUUUACAGAGCCCAUCUAAGAACAUGAAGAUGCUGAAAGGAUAUUCCUGCCAGAGAAAGAAAAUCAGAGCAUAAUCUUCUAAAUGUUACAAAAGUCUGAAAGUGCCUAAAAGGGAAGAAGCACCCCUCCAUGUUUUCUUCAAGAGUGCACUUCAUUGGCAUCAGUCAGAAUUCUUUCAACCCACGGAGCUAACUGUGCUCAAUAAAUAUUUGCCAUUGUGAUUUGAGAUCCAGAAGUAGCUGCACAGGAACUCUGUUUGUGGUGCUAAAAAGUGAAGCUGUGCUUUCCACAGGAUCAUCAGUGGCUUCUGACAUCCAGGACUGUUCUCUCCUUUACAGUGGGAUACAGUUCUUUGGCUGACAUUGGUCUGCAAGGUGGAUGCCAUGUAGAUCUAAAAAUACUGUUAGUGAGGUAAAAAAUUCCUAUACCAGAAACACAGAGCAUUUGCAUACAGUUUUUAGGAGCAGGGGAAGUCAGGAAUAACUGGGAGUUUUAAUAGAUGAUACUGAGAACACCUGCCAGAAGGGGAAAGGAUGCUCUGAAUUUGGAUGUCGUUCGAGAGUGACAGACUCUGUAUCAAGUGACAGACAGGCUGGAGUGGUGCAAAUGUGCCACACUACAGCAAAGCUGCUUACUAGUGAAAAUACUCAGGUUGAGGAACUAUAUUGUGUAUAUAAUCUGGCAAGGUCAGUUGGAGAACAAAUCACAGAACCACAGAAUGGUUUGAGCUGAAAGGGUAUUGAAAGAUCUUCAUGUUCCAAACCACCUCCCAUGGGCAGGAACAUCUAUCAUCAGAUCAAGUGCUCAGAGCCACAUGCAGCCUGGUCUUGAGCACUUCCAGAGGUGGGGCAUCCACAGUUUCUCUUGGCAACCUGGCCAGUGUCUCACCACCCUCACAGGGAAGAAUUUCUUCCUAAAACCCUUCUUUCAGUUUAAAUGCCUUUCAUCCUUGUUGUAUUACUACAUGCCCUUGUGUAAAAUCCCUCUCCAGCUCUCUUGUCUUACAACCAAUACAGUAGCAUAAAUCAUAUUAAAAUUUAGGUAAAAAUCAAAAAGCCUAAAAAUUUUUACUAAAUUACAGACCAAACCAAAUUCCCCAAAUUAUGUUUGGAUGGAAGACUGUUGUAUUCAUCUAUUCAUUUUUUAAAAAUACAGACAAUAAAAAAUAUGUAGAAAUU